ACCUGGGUGGCUCAGUCAGUAGAGCAUGUGACUCUUGAUCUCAAGGUCAUGAGUUCAAACCCCAUGCUGGGUA
rnacentral:tRNA from 1 species